AUUCUUCCACGAAAUUCAAAAGCUAAGUAUCUCUCCUUUGUGUCGUGUUUUCAUUUGAUUCAUUAUUGUGUUGACAUUGUUUCGCAUCUCUGUUUUGAUGUUUUUCUCUGAUUCAUGUAAGGUUGAAUUUGUAUUGGCUUGUUUUGUCUUAAUUCUGAGUAUUAUAUGUUAAUUUUGCUCAUAAACUGUUUGUUUAAAUGUCUAAGAGAUCUAAUAUGAGAUUAUUCAUUCUUGAUAACUUAUUACUCUUCAUAUUAAAAUGGACUCUCUGUAUCCUCACGCCAAAGGCAUAUUGUCCUCAAGAAAUUGGGCUUCUCUUCAUUCGAGCACCGCUGUCCCUUUCAACUCCAUGCUCUUUUUCGAUGAUGAGAAUAAGAACAUCCAAUCGGUAAUAAUAUAAACUCUCACGUUUUCUUUUAAAUUCAUUUUGUUGUCAUCAUCAUCGGAUAUUAUGACAAGUUGGUAAGGAAUGACAAGUUGGUAGAAAUUGAUGGAAAGGAAGAUGCAAUCGAAAACAGAACAACUGAAGUAUUGAUGUUUGAAUUCCCUUUUUUGUCAUUGCUAAUUCUCUAUAACCUAACAAAUCUGAGCUGCUUUUAUCCUGAAAAACACCAUCUAGAAUGUCCCAAAUUAGAAAUCAUGCAUGUGGCCUACUGUCCCAAGUUGAAGCUAUUCACAUCAAAAAUUCAUGACAGUCACAAAGAAGCAAUUACAGAGGCUCCGAUAAAAUGCCUACAACAACCUCUGUUCAUUGUUGAAAAGGUUGUUCCCAAACUUAAGGAAUUGACACUGAACGAGAAAAACAUGAUGUUGAUGAGCGACGCACAUGUGCCACAACACUAUCUCAGCAAAUUAAAUCUUCUCCAAUUGUGCUUUGAGGAAGAUAAAAAUGAGAAAGGUACUUUGCCUUUUGAUUUCCUACACAGGGUACCUAAUUUAGAACAUUUUCGAGUGCAGAGAUGCUUUGGUAUCAAGGAGAUAUUUUCCUCUGAGAAAUUGCAAGUUCAUGAUGGAAUUCCUGCGACAUUGAAAGCAUUAACCCUAUUUGAACUAAAUGAGCUUGAGUCAAUAGGAUUCGAACACCCAUGGGUAAAGUCAUUCUCUGAAAAGCUUCAAACAUUAAGGGUUAUCAGUUGUCCUUGGUUGGAAAAAUUAGGGCGUGGCGCAAUGUCUUUCAUCAAUCUGAAAGUGUUGUAUGUGAUGGACUGUGCUCGAAUGGGGUAUUUAUUCACACUUUCAACUGCAAAAAGUUUAGUCCAACUUGAGACCCUAAUUGUAAGGAGAUGUGAAUCAAUAAAAGAAAUAGCAAUGAAGGAAGAUGAAGAUGAUUGUGAUGAGAUCAUAUUUGAAAGACUCAGAACAUUAACUUUGAAUUCCUUACCUCGACUACAAAGCUUCUUAUCAGGGAAUGCCACUAUGCAGUUUUCAUGUUUGAAAAAUGCAUAUGUAAUUAAUUGCCCCAAUAUGAAAACUUUCUCCGAAGGAGUCCUAACAGCCCCAAGGUUUUUUGGGAUUAAAACAUCAUAUGAGGAUUCAGAUUUAUUCUUCCAUGAUGAUCUAAACACAUCAUUUCAGAGAUUGUUUCAAAGACAGGUGGAAAAGUCUGCAUGAGAUAUAGAGCAUUUAAAAUUUGAUUAUCACUCACACCUACAAGAGAUUUGGCUUGGUGUAGCUCCAAUCCCAACAAACAAUUCUUUCAACAACUUGGAAUCUUUAACUGUGGUGGAAUGUGAAUCUUUUUCCAAUGUCAUCCCUUUUUAUUUACUUCCAUUUCUAUGUAACUUGAAAGAGAUUGAGGUAAGCAACUGUCAAUCUGUGAAGGCAAUAUUUGAUGUGAAUGAUGCAGCAGCAGAUAUGAAACCGAUUUCUCUUCCUUUGAAGAAACUCAUUCUAAAUCAGUUGCCAAAUCUGGAGCACAUCUGGAAUCUGAAUCCUGAUGAAAUUCUGAGCCUUCAAGACUUGCAACAAGUGUCAAUUUCUAACUGUCAAACCCUUAAAAGUUUGUUUCCAACAUCAGUGGCCAAUCAUCUUGUUAAGCUUCAUGUGAGAGCUUGUGGAACAUUGGUAUAAAUUUUUGCAGUGGCUGAUGCAGCCAUCAAUGGAAAAACUAAGCAGCUCAAUUUCCAUUGUCUGACCUCAUUAACACUAUGGGAAUUGUCUGACCUCACUUUUUGACGAAAAUAGUAUGCUACAAAAAGUGAAUUUAGAGUACAAAAUAAGCUGCAGUUGAAGCACUUUGAAGAUGGUAGAGAAAGUGGAAGAGUUUAACAUGAACUGAGUGAUAGAGGAAUUUGAGAGGGUGACAAAGGAUGCUAAGAGGUUCAGGACUGCAAAAGGAAUAGAAAAUUAGGAUAAUUUAUUUAUUUUUUAGUUCAAGACAAAAAGAAAACAAUUGUUUCUUUCUUUUU